rnacentral:rRNA from 1 species
CCUACGGGAGGCAGCAGUGGGGAAUAUUGGGCAAUGGGCGCAAGCCUGACCCAGCAACGCCGCGUGAAGGAAGAAGGCUUUCGGGUUGUAAACUUCUUUUGUCAGGGACGACGCAAGUGACGGUACCUGACGAAUAAGCCACGGAUAACUACGGGCCAGCAGCCGCGGUAAUACGUAGGUGGCAAGCGUUAUCCGGAGUUACUGGGUGUAAAGGGCGUGUAGGCGGGACUGCAAGUAAGAUGUGAAAACCACGGGCGCAACCUGUGGCCUGCAUUUGAAACUGUAGUACUUGAGUACUGGAGAGGCAGACGGAAUUCCUGGUGUAGCGGUGAAAUGCGUAGAUAUGAGGAGGAACACCAGUGGCGAAGGCGGUCGGCUGGACAGCAACUGACGCUGAGGCGCGAAAGCAUGGGGAGCAAACAGGAUUAGAUACCCUAGUAGUC